UACGGAGGGUGCGAGCGUUGUUCGGAAUCACUGGGCGUAAAGCGCGUGUAGGCGGCCCACUAAGUCUGAUGUGAAAGCCCGGGGCUCACCCCCGGAAGUGCAUUGGAAACUGGUGGACUCGAGUCCCGGAGAGGAGAGUGGAAUUCCGUGGUGUAGCGGUGAAAUGCGUAGAUAUCGAGGAGAACACCGGUGGCGAAAGCGACUCUCUG
rnacentral:rRNA from 1 species